ensembl:lncRNA
GUGAUGGGAUCUCACUGGAGAUCCCUGCCUCUCUGAGGCCUUCCAAGGCUGACAGUUUUUGCUCCAGCUCUGGUACUGAUUCAGGCUUGUUGCCUGUCUACCAUGCCCGUGGUGCACACCUAUUAGAAAUACAUCACUUGCUGGCAUCAAAACAGAAAGGGAAAAGUUUACUCUUCUCCCCACCUUAAUCAAGUGCUUUGUGCUUCUGAAUUUGAUCUGAUCUUACAGAUGGUUCUGCAGCUCGUGCUCUCUCAUUGCUGGAUGCACAGCUUUAUUACAGCUGCUCUCCAGGGAUGUGUGGAUAUAUUCCUGAAGUGUGAAGACUGUGGCUCUGAGAAUUCAUGGGCCACGCAGGCUUCUAAUGGUGACUUUCUAUUUUAACGCUCAUCUCUUCCUUUCCUCUACAUACCAUCUGUUCACACUCCUUCUCCCUUACAUCCAUACUGAGGAAAAACUUGAAGUAUGAUCUAUUGGCCACAGAAGACCACACCUAUAAAACAUCCAGGCUCGUUUUCUGUUCAUCUGUUGUUGUUCCAUACAGUCAGUUUUGUCUUCACGUUGCUUAGAUUGGCCUGUUUAAAUUGUAACGUCCUGGGGGGCAAAGGCUGCACUGUGUUUGCACAGAGCCUGGAUCUUGGUUAGGGGCUGUGGGCACUGCUGUGGGACUAAGGAUGAACCCAGAGAGGCUGUAAGGCUAUCUCAGGCUGUGAGGCUAUGUAAGGCUAGCUAUGUCAUAAGGCUGUAAAGAAAAGCCGUCAGUGAGUAUUGCAUGUCAUGGUGGAAGAGUGAACGCAAGGAAAAAAUGUACCUCUGUGGAUGGCACAGCUGAGCUGCGCUGUGUUGUAGUGCACUGAUGUCACGCUGAGGGUGAUAAACUGUUGAGAUAAAAUAAAAUGAAACCCCUGUCAUAGGCAGUGUUAGGAAACACGUUGCUAAAGGUGCAUUAAACUUUGAUGGCUCUAUUUAUACAUUAUACAUGUGCGAGUCAGCAAAGUUGUACUGGUGGUAAUUUUCCAAAGGAAUCAGCUAAUAAUGCUACAGCACAUGCUGGAGCAAACUAUUGCACAGGUUGCUGUUCCUUUUUUUCUUCCUGUUUUUGCUUAUUAGCACACAAAAUAGGGAACAUUCCACACUGUUUUAUGCCCCAGUGUAUAGUCCAAGGAGCAAAGCAAAAGGGAGCUGUAAGGAAGAUUGAUAGAGAGAUGCUCUGCCUCUACAAACAGAAUGCUGAUGGAGGGGAUGAAAAUUGGAGAUCCCCAUAUGUUUGAACCACUUAGGACUCUCAAUCUUAAGGAAAAGCCCACUGCAAAAAUUAUGCAAACUAUGCAAUGAGGAACAUCAGCAAUUUUAGGGAAGGCUGAACUCCUUCAAAGCCUGAGGCCACGGGUGUUUAGAAACCAUGCUGACAAACAGCAUAAAAUAUCUUGAUCGAGGGGGCUGACAGCAAAGCAACCAGCUGAGACUUCAGUAGUAUUUUUCUUUGAAGCAGAACUCCAGCUGGUUACAUGGUUGGAAUACGGAGUAAAAAAGAAACGGGUAGUAUCGGUCUUGUCCUCAAAGUACCAUUAAUGCUGUGGACAACCACGGCUGCACAGGGCCAGGCAGAAGGCCUGCAGACUUGGAAGAUGGCAAUAGCAAAUCUCAGAGACGUUUUGUUUUCCUCCCCUUGGUGGAAGAGUCGUAGACAAAGCAUUGGCCAGCCCUGAUCCAACGUGAAGCUCCUGCCAGCAGUUCUCCAGCACUCCAAUGGUCCGUGCAGCAUCUGAGACAGCGCAGUCAGAAAGGAUAUGGACCUCAAAAACCUGGGUCUUCCAACAGCAGGUGAAAAAGCAUCGUCUCUUUCUCUCAUCUCCUGAAGAACCCCUAAGACUCACGCAAUUUUCCAGCCUCUGAGCCAGACGUAAGACUUGUUUGAUUGUUUCUGUGGCAAACUAAGGAAUGAAUGAAUAUAAUCUCUACCCAACAUGCGCAAAUCCCAAAGAUAGUGGAGUUUAAAUGGUCCCAAUGUAAAUGUCUGUAUCUUCAGGGAUGACUGCAGAAGUGACACAGAAAGGCUUUGAGGCAACAACUGUGCACUUGUUUGGUUUUUGGCCAGCGGCUGUCACAGUGAGUCCUUUUUCCACGCUAAAACUUUGUUAUAUUCUACUCUAACAAGUAGUAAAAACAACAGCAGAAGUAGUGGGAAUCUGCAGCUGAAGGGAAACUUAUUCCAGAGCAGGAUUUAGCAGGCUGUGCUUCCCUCCACCCAAUGUGAGCUGGAACAGAAGCACGCUGUAGCUCACCUAAGUGGCCUCUGUCAGUUCCAAUAACUCACUUAACAGUCGUGCUAAGAAAGCUGCACCCUGAAUCUCAGCACUGCCAAAUGUUUGCCCUUUUCCGAAUCUCAGAAGCAAUUCUGUGCUCAUUGCAGGAUGAAUCUCUACUGGAAAACAUUACUCUCACUUAGGAGACCUCAGAGUGAAUGCAGUGAUUUGCUCAGCGCACGCUGCUCUCCAUUUACCUCUUACUGCCCCUUCUCCACCUUACCCCCUCCGUUACUCCACUCUCCCCCUUGGCUGCAGCUCUUUGCAUUGGCUUUAUUUCAUGCAGCACCCUGCAGAGCAGAGCUGUUCUCACUGCCUCUUGUUCUUACAUCCAAGGAAACCCAAAGACGGAUGCUUCCUUACCCUGGAGCCCCCCAGGUGCUAUCUCCGUAGCACAUAACUCUCACCAACACGGCUUGCAUUUGCAGGAUACAACAUUGAAAUUCCACUGACAAUAUCAGGAACACAAAAAACAAGUGCUGGAAUUGCUGGUGCUUUAUAGGCACUUCCUGACAGGAGCUUAUCGCCGUCUGUACAACGUGUUGUUAUCCCCGUAAAUGCUGCAUGUUUGUAUAUUAUGGGUAAUGAAAUGCAGUCCUAACAGCUCGUAAGAUACAGGAGGACUGUCAGAGCUCCUCGCAGUGUCUGGAUAAUUCAAUGUGCAGUGUUAACAAGAAGAAAAAUGUGGGGAAGAAAUGAUUAUUAGUGCAAGAAAAACAAACUGGGUGGAACUCCAUGACCAGAAGGAACUUUAUAUGACUUUCUAGCAUUCAGGCCUCAAUUAUCAGAGACACAACUCAGACCACAAACAAUAUUUCUCUGUGGCAAAGCGAGGCUGCUUUAUUACUGGCCUCAGAAAGAGUGAAUGUUUUGAUAAUGGAGUUAAAGGAAAACCAGAGCUGCACAAUUCAAGAGCAGCCUUUUCUGAUCAAGACGUGAGUGCUGUGCUAGGUGAGAAGUAAAUCAAUAAUACAGCCCCCAGGAAGGCUCUAUUUAUGAAAAAUCCUGUAAAUUGAUGCUUAUGUGCUGCUAGCAAAGAAUAAUAUUUUCUUUAAGGGGCCCACAUCUCUGGAGAUAAACAGAGGCUGGAAAGAAGGCAAGGUAUAUUUAUAUACUGACUGUGUAAACACGCAUACUGUGGCUGCAUGUGUCAAAUUUAAAACAUGAAAGACAGACAGGGAUGCAGGGAAGGCAGCACUGCUGUCGCCUGUAGGAAAAUAGCUGUUUUCUUGGGUGGUGGAACCCACCCCUCUGUGUGCAUGUGAGCAGUGGGAAAGCACUGAGGAGGGAUCCCCUGCAUCGUGCAGCUCAUACAAAGGUGCAGUGCAGCAGGGGAGUCCUGCAGGGACCAUUUUAAGGUGGAGAUAAAACCCCUCAGACAGAGGUGCAGAAAGGCUAGGCAUUGUACCACACACCAUUGCAACAGUCCCGUGCUGCUGUCAUAGCCCUCACUUCACUCUUGUAUGCAGUCUGUCCAGCUUAGCUGAUGCACAGAGUGUUAUUAAUGAGGUUUUUUUUUGAU